rnacentral:tRNA from 1 species
GAUGAAUUGCCUGAAUAAAGGGCUGCUCUGAUAGGGCAAAUCAUGUAAAUUAUUACAUUCAUUA